rnacentral:lncRNA from 1 species
AAGGACCUAAGGACCUAGAGUUGUUAUGAAGAGUAAAGGGGCUGAUUUGUGUAAAAUGGCUUAGAACAGUGACUAGAGAAUCUGAAGCGCUGUUAGUUAUUGCUAAUGACUUUUUUCCUUUACCUUUCAAGCCAUUAAUAGCUGACAACCCCUGGAAUUGAUGGACCUAAUGCCCUCCUCUAGAUAAGGUCUUGCUGAGUUGCCCAGGCUGGCCUUAAACUCUCAAUCCUCCUGCCUCAGUUUCCUGAGUAGUUGGAGUUACAGGAAUAAAGACAUGCAGCUGUUGAGCUCUGGAGCUGCAGCUCCAACUCUCAUGCUCUGAUGCUGCCCUGAUGCUGAUGAUUGUCUCUGCAUCUUUUCUUUAUUGGGGAAUUAACUCACUCAUGAAGG